GAUAGAACGCUGGCGGCGUGCCUCAAACAUGCAAGUCGAGCGGGGCUAUGUAAUAUCGCAAGGUAGAACAUAGCCUAGCGGCGAACGGGUGAGUAACACGUGGGUAACCUGCCUGGAAGACAGGGAUAACGAUUCGAAAGGGUCGCUAAUACCUGAUAAUAUCCUUUCAUCGCAUGGUGAUAGGAAGAAAGGGGAAACCCGCUUUCAGAUGGGCCCGCGUCCCAUCAGCUAGUUGGUAAGGUAAAGGCUUACCAAGGCGACGACGGGUAGCCGGUCUGAGAGGAUGUACGGCCACACUGGGACUGAGAUACGGCCCAGACUCCUACGGGAGGCAGCAGUUGGGAAUCUUAGGCAAUGGACGAAAGUCUGACCUAGCGACGCCGCGUGAGGGAAGAAGGCCUUCGGGUUGUAAACCUCUGUCAUGGGGGAAGAAGUAAGUGACGGUACCCCAAGAGGAAGCCCCUGCUAACUACGUG
rnacentral:rRNA from 1 species